rnacentral:rRNA from 1 species
UACGUAGGGCGCAAGCGUUGUCCGGAAUCAUUGGGCGUAAAGAGCUCGUAGGUGGUUCGGUAAGUCGGGUGUGAAACCUCCAGGCUCAACCUGGAGACGCCACCCGAUACUGCUGUGACUGGAGUCCGGUAGGGGAGCGUGGAAUUCCUGGUGUAGCGGUGAAAUGCGCAGAUAUCAGGAGGAACACCAGCGGCGAAGGCGGCGCUCUGGGCCGGUACUGACACUGAGGAGCGAAAGCGUGGGUAGCAAACAGG